CUCCCCCCAGGAUCACACCUGGAGAAUUUCCAGUAUUCUCCCAGUCUCAGUUAUGGGAGGAAGAGUCAAGUAGAGGCAUACCUAUUCCAUUCCUAGCUUGGCCAUUGGCUAGAGCGUGGAAGGCAAUCUGCUACAAAU
rfam:Ornithorhynchus anatinus chromosome 3, whole genome shotgun sequence.